GGGCCCGCACAAGCGGUGGAGCAUGUGGUUUAAUUCGAUGAUACGCGAGGAACCUUACCAGGGCUUAAAUGUAGUGGGACAGGUCUAGAGAUAGACCCUUCUUCGGACUCAUUACAAGGUGCUGCAUGGUUGUCGUCAGCUCGUGCCGUGAGGUGUCAGGUUAAGUCCUAUAACGAGCGCAACCCACGUCUUUAGUUGCCAGCGAGUAAUGUCGGGAACUCUAACGAAACUGCCAGUGCAAACUGUGAGGAAGGUGGGGAUGACGUCAAAUCAUCACGGCCCUUACGUCCUGGCUACACACGUGCUACAAUGGCCGGUACAGAGAGCAGCCACUUCGCAAGAAGGAG
rnacentral:rRNA from 1 species